rnacentral:lncRNA from 1 species
AAAUAGGUAGAAAUGACACAAGAUGAAUUCAAAUACUUGUUGGGAAUCUCCCACCCCAGUUUGCUUUGACAAAACGAUACACAUUCUCGAGAAGACGAUCAGGGCCAGUCCUAUGUUUGCAAAUCUCUUAAUGGUAUCGAUCAAAUAUCUUGUCAAGUAAAAAGGAAUCAAAACAUCAGUGAACUUAUGAAAGAACAAAUAAUGAAAAACCC